rnacentral:lncRNA from 1 species
AUAUAGUAUUUGUUAUGUAAGCAAUUUAGAGAUGAUAGAUCAUACUCUAUACCUCAUAUUAUAGAUGGAAAAUUUUCGUUAUCCAAUCAAGACUCAACAAAUUCUGCAUGGAGAUCUACUUGAUCGAGUCCUAACUAUUUUCUAUAUAUACAUAACAUAUCCUAUUUUGUCUUGGUGAAUGAUACGAAGAAUAUUUCAUUUGAUCAAUUGACCUCGAUCUUUAUUUAGGAGGGGCUAGAUCGACAUGACCAACCUCAUAACCUCAACCUUCAAUAGC